rnacentral:rRNA from 1 species
GACGAACGCUGGCGGUGUGCCUAAUACAUGCAAGUCGGGCGGACGAAUCGAAAGCUUGCUUUUGUUUCGUUAGCGGCGGACGGGUGAGUAACACGUGGGCAACCUGCUCUGUAGACGGGGAUAACACCGAGAAAUCGGUGCUAAUACUGGAUAACACGAAAUGUCGCAUGACGUUUCGUUGAAAGACGGCGCAAGCUGCCGCUACAGGAUGGGCCCGCGGCGCAUUAGCUAGUUGGUGAGGUAACGGCUCACCAAGGCGACGAUACGUAGCCGACCUGAGAGGGUGAUCGGCCACACUGGGACUGAGACACGGCCCAGACUCCUACGGGAGGCAGCAGUAGGGAAUCUUCCGCAAUGGGCGAAAGUCUGACGGAGCAACGCCGCGUGAGCGAAGAAGGCCUUCGGGUCGUAAAGCUCUGUUGUUAGGGAAGAACAAGUAACGCAGUAACUGGCGUUACCGUGACGGUACCUAACGAGAAAGCCACGGCUAACUACGUG